rnacentral:tRNA from 1 species
GGCACCAUGGCUUAGCUGGCUAAAGCGCCUGUCUUGUAAACAGGAAAUUCUGGGUUCAACUCCCAGUGGUGCCU